rnacentral:rRNA from 1 species
CAAGUCGAACGCGAAAGUGGAGCAAUCCAUGAGUAGAGUGGCAAACGGGUGAGUAACACGUGGGUGACCUGCCUUCGAGUGGGGGAUAACGUCCCGAAAGGGACGCUAAUACCGCAUAACAUGCUGUCGUUUAAGAGAUGGACAUCAAAGCCGGGGACCGCAAGGCCUGGCGCUUGAAGAGGGGCCCGCGCCUGAUUAGCUAGUUGGUGGGGUAAUGGCUCACCAAGGCAACGAUCAGUAUCCGGCCUGAGAGGGCGGACGGACACACUGGGACUGAGACACGGCCCAGACUCCUACGGGAGGCAGCAGUGGGGAAUUGUUCGCAAUGGGCGCAAGCCUGACGACGCAACGCCGCGUGGAGGAUGAAGAUCUUCGGGUCGUAAACUCCUUUCGAUCGAGACGAACGGCCCUUGGGACAACACCCUGAGGGAGUGACGGUACCGAGAGAAGAAGCCCCGGCUAACUCCGUGCCAGCAGCCGCGGUAAUACGGGGGGGGCAAGCGUUGUUCGGAAUUACUGGGCGUAAAGGGCUCGUAGGCGGCCAACUAAGUCAUACGUGAAAUCCCUCGGCUUAACCGGGGAACUGCGUCUGAUACUGGAUGGCUUGAGUUCGGGAGAGGGAUGCGGAAUUCCAGGUGUAGCGGUGAAAUGCGUAGAUAUCUGGAGGAACACCGGUGGCGAAGGCGGCAUCCUGGACCGAUACUGACGCUGAUGAGCGAAAGCCAGGGGAGCAAACGGGAUUAGAUACCCCGGUAGUCCUGGCCCUAAACGAUGAAUGCUUGGUGUGGCGGGUAUCGAUCCCUGCCGUGCCGAAGCUAACGCAUUAAGCAUUCCGCCUGGGGA